UCCCAGGUGGCUCAGUGGUAAAGAAUCUGCCUGCCAAUGCAGGAGACACAGGUUCAAUCCCUGGGUUGGGAA
rnacentral:tRNA from 1 species